rnacentral:rRNA from 1 species
UACGAAGGGGGCUAGCGUUGUUCGGAAUUACUGGGCGUAAAGCGCGCGCAGGCGGUCUUCCAAGUCAGUGGUGAAAGCCCGGAGCUCAACUCCGGAACUGCCAUUGAAACUGUAAGACUUGAGGAUGAGAGAGGUGAGUGGAAUUCCCAGCGUAGAGGUGAAAUUCGUAGAUAUUGGGAAGAACACCGGUGGCGAAGGCGGCUCACUGGCUCAUAUCUGACGCUCAGGCGCGACAGCGUGGGGAUCAAACAGG